rnacentral:rRNA from 1 species
UAACAAGGAUUCCCCCUAGUAACUGCGAGUGAAGCGGGAAAAGCUCAAAUUUAAAAUCUGGCGGUCUUUGGCCGUCCGAGUUGUAGUCUGGAGAAGUGCUUUCCGCGCUGGACCGUGUACAAGUCUCUUGGAACAGAGCGUCAUAGAGGGUGAGAAUCCCGUCUUUGACACGGACUACCAGUGCUUUGUGAUGCGCUCUCAAAGAGUCGAGUUGUUUGGGAAUGCAGCUCAAAAUGGGUGGUAAAUUCCAUCUAAAGCUAAAUAUUGGCGAGAGACCGAUAGCGAACAAGUACCGUGAGGGAAAGAUGAAAAGCACUUUGGAAAGAGAGUUAAACAGUACGUGAAAUUGCUGAAAGGGAAACGCUUGAAGUCAGUCGCGUUGGCCAGGACUCAGCCUUGCUUUUCGCUUGGUGCAUUUUCUGGUUGACGGGCCAGCAUCGAUUUUGACCACUGGAAAAAGGCUAGGGGAAUGUGGCACCUUCGGGUGUGUUAUAGCCCUUAGUCACAUACAGUGGUUGGGAUCGAGGACCGCAGCACGCCUUUAUGGCCGGGGUUCGCCCACGUUCGUGCUCAGGAUGCUGGCGUAAUGGCUUUAAACGACCCGUCUUGAAACACGGACCAAGGAGUCUAACAUGCCUGCGAGUGUUUGGGUGGAAAACCCGAGCGCGUAAUGAAAGUGAAAGUUGAGAUCCCUGUCGUGGGGAGCAUCGACGCCCGGACCUGAACUUCGGUGAUGGAUCUGCGGUAGAGCAUGUAUGUUGGGACCCGAAAGAUGGUGAACUAUGCCUGAAUAGGGUGAAGCCAGAGGAAACUCUGGUGGAGGCUCGUAGCGAUUCUGACGUGCAAAUCGAUCGUCAAAUUUGGG